CCAACAUGGAUGUACUGAGAGGUCACUCUCCCUGGGCUCUGUCCAGGUGGCUUAGAGGAGCAUAGGGCUCUGCCCCAUAUAGUCCCUUUCCACAAUGUUGGAGAUGAAGCUGGGCCUUUGAGUCUGCACCUGCAUAUUCCUACAACUUCUCAGAGUCCUGUGGACAAUGACUGAGGAGACAAGCCAUGCAGGAAACAGUG
ensembl:snoRNA SNORA73 Small nucleolar RNA SNORA73 family